CAACCUGCCGAUGACUCGGGGAUAGCCUUUCGAAAGAAAGAUUAAUACCCGAUGGCAUAGUUCUUCCGCAUGGUGGAACUAUUAAAGAAUUUCGGUCAUCGAUGGGGAUGCGUUCCAUUAGGUUGUUGGCGGGGUAACGGCCCACCAAGCCUUCGAUGGAUAGGGGUUCUGAGAGGAAGGUCCCCCACAUUGGAACUGAGACACGGUCCAAACUCCUACGGGAGGCAGCAGUGAGGAAUAUUGGUCAAUGGACGAGAGUCUGAACCAGCCAAGUAGCGUGAAGGAUGACUGCCCUAUGGGUUGUAAACUUCUUUUAUACGGGAAUAAAGUGAGGCACGUGUGCCUUUUUGUAUGUACCGUAUGAAUAAGGAUCGGCUAACUCCGUGCCAGCAGCCGCGGUAAUACGGAGGAUCCGAGCGUUAUCCGGAUUUAUUGGGUUUAAAGGGAGCGUAGGCGGACGCUUAAGUCAGUUGUGAAAGUUUGCGGCUCAACCGUAAAAUUGCAGUUGAUACUGGGUGUCUUGAGUACAGUAGAGGCAGGCGGAAUUCGUGGUGUAGCGGUGAAAUGCUUANAUAUCACGAAGAACUCCGAUUG
rnacentral:rRNA from 1 species